GGAGUUCCGGUUCUGUUUCUACUAUUAAAGGGCCACGUGAACUCACUCCAUCUUAGUUCUCAACCCUAUUUUCAGGGCAGCAUGGAUUAUCCCCAUUGCGUGAGUCUAAACAGGAAUAGCAUACAGUCUUUAAAAUUUUUAAGGGCAGGCUUUUGUCUACAGGACGCCUUUGCAGAAGCGAGGUUUGAGUGAGGCUUCAGGUCCAUGGCGGGAGAGGAGACGCUGGAGAGGCCAGGCCGGCUGUUGGUCAUAGGGCUGAUAGGGCCCAACACACACCAGUGCUAACACCUGGCUGCAAGCACGGAACCAAAACUCAUCUCACACACUAAAACCCCCAGCAAGCUAGUACUGCUGUCUGGGCAAAGCUCUGCGGAGGCCGCUGGAAGAAAGGCGAGUUUCCCGGUAUUCCCGAAGCAGUGCCAGUGUUUGUGCAAAGCUCACGUUUCACUCCGGCUUGGGAUGGAAUGGAGUUUGUUUCCUCAACAGAGUCGAGUUGCCCUGGUUUUGAUGGGGUGAGGGCAUGUCGAUCGCUUCACGGGGUUGCCUUUCCUAAUUGCACACAGGCAAACACUCACUCUUCGAAGGGUGCUGUCACCCUCGCGGUGGCAGUGGCGGUGGCGGUGGCGGCGGGGAAAGUCUGCACCCUGGAGCGGGGACGCUGCCUCCGGCUGCAGCCCCCUUAGUCUUAGCCUUAUCGCGGCACACACCAGUUCCUAGAGAAGAGAUUCCGAGAAAAAACCCCGGGUUCCCUAGAAACAUUAAAUUAACACAAGGGAUCUGGAAACGAAACAGCAGAUGCCUGAAAGCCUUCCCCCUUGCUGGUUUCCUGCCUUCUCGGAAAAUCUUUGCGUUAAAAUAGAUUGGAUUACCCGACUCGGCCAGAUGCAGCUCUAGACCUGCUGAAAGUGCACAGGAAAGCAAGCCGUGUGCCAUCUUUUAGAAAGAUUUUUUUUUCUUUCCCAGGUGGUAGAAAACUGCCUUCGGGUUGUUGGUAUUAGCAAGGACUGGAGGCUGAGUUGCUUGAGUCCCGAUAGAAACUUUCCCCAACUCCGACUUGCAAAUCUGAUAACCCGAGAAUGCAACAGAGUAGGGUAAGCGCAAGACUUGCCUUAGUUCCGAGCCUAGGAAUAGGAUGCCUCGUCCCCUUUUUACUAAGAAGAAAAUGUCUGUUUUAUUCUGGAAUCUACCUUGACCAAAACUAUGAAACCAGAAUAAAGCUAACAGCAUUUCCUGGGAGUCACAGAGGUUGAAGGCAUUCUGUCAGGCUUCUCAUCAGAAUCUCAGAAAAUAACUAUCUCAGAAAGUAACAAACUAACCCCCCAGGAACCCUGUCUGCAUCAUCUCGUACUCUCUAAAUUCAAGCUACAACUGAUAACCACACAUCUGAAAAGCAGUCAGCCGUGGGCGCCUAAGUAUAUUCCAUUUCUGAGGCAUCUUCCACACACAAAUUAUUUUUGGUAGCUGAGAAUCAGAUGCAAAGCUUCCUAUGAGCCUUAAGAAUUUUAAAGAAGAAAUACAGUUUUGACUGUAGCUUCCUUCCUUGAUACAUUUCACUGGUUUCUUUUGGUAAUCCUUACAGAGGGGCUCAAGAUCCUUAGGCUCUGUUUUUAACACCGGCCCUUGUUUCUAGUGAAUCAGAUCAUAACCUGUAGUUAUAAAAGGAUUCUGUGCUUAGCCUGGGCUUGGGUGCUCUGGGUGGAGGAACACAUUUCAAAAUCCUCUAAACAAAAAGACAUGUCUUUGCCUACGCAUAAGAACAACAGAACCUAUUGUAAAACCCUCAGGCGGACAAAAUUACCUCCCCAGAAGCCGCUCUGGGUACUCCUGCAUAGAGUAUGGAGGAAAAGACAAAGGACAGUUUCAUAUGGACUUCCCCUCUUCCAACUUUACCGCAGGCCUCAAGAAAGGCAAGGAGGACUCUAAACUGUUUAUAAGAAAGCAAAGAAAAAUGUUGUAAGGAUUACUUGGCUAGCAGGCCACAGGCAAAGCUGGAAGCAGCAGACAGCAGCCGGCAGGCAGAGAGCCGCUUAAAACCGAAAGUCCAACUGCUUUGAGCAGGUAGACUCUCAUACAACAAAAUUAUCAGAGGAACAUCCCUCCGAGCAAAGAUGCUGCUUGCUUUGUAUCUCGCUGUUAGGAAAGGGAGCCCAGUCACACAAAACUGCUACAGUAAUCAUAAAUAGCCCAGCAAUGCUAGUCUGUGGCUGCUUUUUUGUAUUCUUUAAUGACAAGUGAAUUUCCAAAUGAUUAUGAGUGACCACAUGUGACAUUUUUCCAGUUGGGUCUUUCACCACAAAAGCAUGCCUGUCACUAAGACACAGUCUUAUAUGCUAAGAACAAACUGUAUAUUGCUCUCAUGUGUCACAGGAACAAAACUGAUGGCAAAAGGUCACCCGGACUCUUUUAAAAAUAUUUCAUAAUUUGAAAGUAAACCACAAUAUGGAAUCCUAUGGGAAAGCAACACAUCUAAUAAGCUCCUUCAAAAUUAAAAAAAGAAAAGAAUAUUAACAUCAAAGAAAAGUGCCAGCAGCUUAAAAGCCACAAUGUCUUUCCUGUGGCUGGAUGGGGCCUCAUUCCUGGGCGUUUAUCACACUUAACUGAAUUUUUUUUCAAGGAAGAAAACACUUAGAUAUUGAAAAGCAGUUAUUUCCCCUUGACCAUCUAAUUCCAACUCAUCAAAUUAAAUAUCUAGAAAUC
rnacentral:lncRNA from 1 species